rnacentral:rRNA from 1 species
AUUGAACGCUGGCGGCAGGCCUAACACAUGCAAGUCGAGCGGAGCGGCGGACGGGUGAGUAACACGUGGGUGACCUGCCCUGCACUUCGGGAUAAGCCUGGGAAACUGGGUCUAAUACCGGAUAGUGUGGGAUGGGCCCGCGGCCUAUCAGCUUGUUGGUGGGGUAAUGGCCUACCAAGGCGGCGACGGGUAGCCGGCCUGAGAGGGUGGACGGCCACAUUGGGGCUGAGGCACGGCCCAGACGCCUACGGGGGGCAGCAGGGGGGAAUAUUGCGCAAUGGGCGGAAGCAUGAUGCAGCGACGCCGCGUGGGGGAUGACGGCCUUCGGGUUGUAAACUCCUUUCACCAUCGACGCGGUAGAUGGAGAAGAAGCACCGGCUAACUACGUGCCAGCAGCCGCGGUAAUAC